rnacentral:rRNA from 1 species
GAUGAACGCUGGCGGCGCACUUAAUGCAUACAAGUCGAACGGACCGACAGAUAGUGGGUGGUUUCGGCGUAUCAACUGUAGGCGGUUAGUGGCGAACGGGUGAGUAACACGUAGGCGACCUGUCCCGAAGAGGGGGAUAACCGCUGGAAACGACGGCUAAUACCCCAUGUGCUCCGUGGUGUUUGAGGACCACGGAGGAAAGUUCCGGCGCUUUGGGAGGGGCCUGCGGCCUAUCAGCUAGUUGGUGAGGUAACGGCUCACCAAGGCAAUGACGGGUAGGGGGCCUGAGAGGGUGGUCCCCCACACUGGCACUGAGACACGGGCCAGACUCCUACGGGAGGCAGCAGCAGGGAAUAUUGCGCAAUGGGCGAAAGCCAGACGCAGUGACGCCGCGUGGAGGAUGAAGGCUCUCGGGUUGUAAACUCCUUUUCCGGGGGACGAGGAAGGACGGUACCCCGGGAAUAAGCCCCGGCUAACUACGUG